CUCGUAGGCGGCCAACUAAGUCAGACGUGAAAUCCCCAGGCUCAACCUGGGAACUGCGUCUGAUACUGGAUGGCUUGAAUUCGGGAGAGGGAUGCAGAAUUCCAGGUGUAGCGGUGAAAUGCGUAGAUAUCUGGAGGAAUACCGGUGGCGAAGGCGGCAUCCUGGACCGACAUUGACGCUGAGGAGCGAAAGCUAGGGGAGCAAC
rnacentral:rRNA from 1 species